GUAUGACUAAAGCAAGUCUAUUGUUUUCAAGGUGGUUAUGCUGCCUCAUCAAAUUCCUUCUUCUUGUACCCUCUGUGGUGUUGCCCUGUGUCAGGCAUGGUUCACUUGUAUUAUGUAAGACAAUGUGGGGGGCAACAGCCUGGCCUGGAGUGAUGGGUUGUUGGUGCGCGGGUGCGGCAUUCCUUUCCUUGCUCUGGUGUAGAGUACAUCACUCUCCUUGCUCUGGACUGGAAUCACCGCUGAACACAUUCAUUAUUUUGUAAACCCAUCAUUUUCCUGGCACAGGUUCUCCUGCCGUUUGUCAUUUUGGACGAGGACGAGACCUGUGCAUUAUUACUACUACUUCUACUACUUGUGGAGCUGAGUGAUGAUUUUCUGUUCCGCUUUCCUCCAUGUCACCUUUUCAUCUCAUCACACCCCUGGCCGUCCCCUGACGGCCGUCAGGGGAGGUUACGUCCUUCCGGAAGUUGCAGUCGCUAGUUUCCCGUCUGCUGCAGUACAGUCCUUUGACGUCCCCGGAUCUCCCCUUCUUCUCUGAUGUUUUAAUUCUCGCUCCGUGAACUUUGUUCUUUUCGUGAACUUUGUACUCGCGCGUUCGUGGACGUAACGGGAUUUGAAUCGUUGGUCAUCGCUGGAUCUGGACAAGACCAUGGGAGACGCAACUGCGAACAACUUAUCCUUUUCUCGCAUUGUAUAAAUUGUUGUAAUCUGUGCAUUUUCAUUUGUGUUUACAUAUCCACUUUCGUUGUUUAUAUUUUGUUUUGACUUCAAGUUUAAGAGUGUUUGAGUGAUUUGAAUUAAAAGUCAUUUUUAAUUCGAGCUGUAAAUACACCUAUUUCUGUACAUUUUUAUUUCUUUGAUUAUUUUGUCGAACUGAACCGGUUGGAAUUAUAUCAUUGGGGUUUUCCUAACUGGAAUAGACCCCGCGACACAU